GAUGAAGAACGCAGCGAAAUGCGAUAAGUAAUGUGAAUUGCAGAAUUCAGUGAAUCAUCGAAUCUUUGAAUGCACAUUGCGCCCGCCAGUAUUCUGGCGGGCAUGCCUGUUCGAGCGUCAUUUCAACCAUCAAGCCCCCCGGCUUGUGUUGGGGACCUGCGGCUGCCGCAGGCCCUGAAAAGCAGUGGCGGGCUCGCUGUCACACCGAGCGUAGUAGCAUACAUCUCGCUCUGGGCGUGCUGCGGGUUCCGGCCGUUAAACCACCUUCAUAACCCAAGGUUGACCUCGGAUCAGGUAGGAAGACCCGCUGAACUUAAGCAUAUCCAAUAAGCGGAGGA
rnacentral:misc_RNA from 1 species